GAUGUACAUCUCUGUACACGUGAUAUCUUAUGAUGUAAGAAUCCAGUGAAAACUAGCUUGUACAUUCAUUUAGAUAAAUGUUGCCCGCGAUGCGAUAUUCUUCGUAUUUUAUGAUCUAUACGAAGACAGAAUCGACAUCGAUUGAUAGCCAAUAAUAUUCCUUGAUUUGCGAUCAAUCUUUCUAGAGGAAGGAGGAUAUAAAAUAAAAAAUUAAAGUAUUGGUCAGGAGAGAAGAAAAUUCAGCAUCCAAGUGCUCUAAGUGGUUCUUGUAAGAAAGGUUACACUUCUCGAUGAAAAUUUGUUCGCUUUACGAGGAUUUUACGAUGAGAUCAGAUUGAAUUUUCCACAAUAAAACGUUAAUCGUAUCAAGGUGGUGUCAGCCAUCUUUGUUAUCUAUUGUAAAAAUAAAUAAGAAAAAAAUUUACGAUCAUAAAAAACUACGCUGAUCAUAAAAAA